rnacentral:tRNA from 1 species
UGUAAGAUAAGCUAACUCAAGCUACUGGGUUCAUACCCCAUCGAUAGAUUCUCUUCUUUUUAUUA